rnacentral:rRNA from 1 species
AUUGAACGCUGGCGGCAGGCCUAACACAUGCAAGUCGAGCGGAUGAAGGGAGCUUGCUCCUGGAUUCAGCGGCGGACGGGUGAGUAAUGCCUAGGAAUCUGCCUGGUAGUGGGGGAUAACGUCCGGAAACGGGCGCUAAUACCGCAUACGUCCUGAGGGAGAAAGUGGGGGAUCUUCGGACCUCACGCUAUCAGAUGAGCCUAGGUCGGAUUAGCUAGUUGGUGGGGUAAAGGCCUACCAAGGCGACGAUCCGUAACUGGUCUGAGAGGAUGAUCAGUCACACUGGAACUGAGACACGGUCCCGACUCCUACGGGAGGCAGCAGUGGGGAAUAUUGGACAAUGGGCGAAAGCCUGAUCCAGCCAUGCCGCGUGUGUGAAGAAGGUCUUCGGAUUGUAAAGCACUUUAAGUUGGGAGGAAGGGCAGUAAGUUAAUACCUUGCUGUUUUGACGGUACCAACAGAAUAAGCUCCGGCUAACUUCGUG